rnacentral:rRNA from 1 species
UACGGGGGGGGCAAGCGUUGUUCGGAAUUACUGGGCGUAAAGGGCUCGUAGGCGGCCAACUAAGUCAGACGUGAAAUCCCUCGGCUUAACCGGGGAACUGCGUCUGAUACUGGAUGGCUUGAGUUUGGGAGAGGGAUGCGGAAUUCCAGGUGUAGCGGUGAAAUGCGUAGAUAUCUGGAGGAACACCGGUGGCGAAGGCGGCAUCCUGGACCAUAACUGACGCUGAUCCGCGAAAGCUAGGGGAGCAAACGGG